rnacentral:rRNA from 1 species
CUCCGGUUGAUCCCGCCGGACCCGACUGCUAUCAGAGUGAGAUUAAGCCAUGCGAGUUAACGUAGCAAUACGUGGCGCACGGCUCAGUAACACGUAGUCAACAUGCCCAGAGGACGUGGAUAACCUCGGGAAACUGAGUCUAAACCGCGAUAAGUGAGGAUUUCUGGAAUGGUUCCUGACUAAAAUCUAUAUGGCCUCUGGAUUGGACUGCGGCCGAUCAGGCUGUUGGUGAGGUAAUGGCCCACCAAACCUGUAACCGGUACGGGCUCUGAGAGGAGGAGCCCGGAGAUGGGCACUGAGACAAGGGCCCAGGCCCUAUGGGGCGCAGCAGGCGCGAAACCUCUGCAAUAGGCGAAAGCCUGACAGGGUUACUCUGAGUGACUUUCGCUAAGAAAGUCUUUUGGCACCUCUAAAAAGGGUGCAGAAUAAGGGGUGGGCAAGUCUGGUGUCAGCCGCCGCGGUAAUACCAGCACCCCGAGUGGUCGGGACGAUUAUUGGGCCUAAAGCAUCCGUAGCCGGUUCUACAAGUCUUCCGUUAAAUCCACCUGCUUAACAGAUGGGCUGCGGAAGAUACUAUAGAGCUAGGAGGCGGGAGAGGCAAGCGGUACUCGAUGGGUAGGGGUAAAAUCCGUUGAUCCAUUGAAGACCACCAGUGGCGAAGGCGGCUUGCCAGAACGCGCUCGACGGUGAGGGAUGAAAGCUGGGGGAGCAAACCGGAUUAGAUACCCGGGUAGUCCCAGCUGUAAACGAUGCAGACUCGGUGAUGAGUUGGCUUAUUGCUAACUCAGUGCCGCAGGGAAGCCGUUAAGUUUGCCGCCUGGGGAGUACGGUCGCAAGACUGAAACUUAAAGGAAUUGGCGGGGGAGCA